CCGGGACUAAACCAGGUCUAAACCAGGUCUAAACCAGGACUCUUUCUGUUUGUUGACACUGGUGCUACAGUCUGCUGCUCUCAGGUCACGCAAGGCUUGUCCCUCCUCUCUUCGGGUCUAUGCCUUCCGGGUUGGUCCUGGUUCAGAACUGCUCUCAUCUCUUCGGGACUUUGUGGAUCAUAAUAGACUUAGAGCUCCGUUUGUCCUCACCUGUGUGGGCAGCUUGACCUCAGCACGACUGCGGCUCGCCAAUGCUACGGCAACAAACACCAACCAGGUUUUGGAUCUGAGCGGUCGGUUCGAGAUUGUGUCGUUGGUGGGGACUCUGAACCCCGAGGCUCACCUGCACCUCUGCCUGUCGGACAGCAGGGGGUGCACUGUGGGGGGGCAUGUCCUGGGGAACCUGCAGGUCUUCACCACAGCCGAGGUUCUGAUUGGAGAUGCCCAAGAGCUGAUCUUCACCAGAGACAUGGACCCUCAAACCGGCUUCCCCGAGCUUGUGGUGCAGGCCCGAGACCAGACCACAGACUAAAGACCAAACCAAAGAUCAGAGAAGAGGCUAGGUCAGAGAUCAGACUCGACCAGAGACUCGACCAGAGACUCGACCAGAGACUCGACCAGAGACUCGACCAGAGACUCGACCAGAGGCCAGACCAGAGGCCAGACCAGAGGCCAGACCAGAGGCCAGACCAGAGGCCAGACCAGAGGCCAGACCAGAGGCCAGACCAGAGGCCAGACCAGAGGCCAGACCAGAGGCCAGACCAGAGGCCAGACCAGAGGCCAGACCAGGGACUAGGACAAAACCAGGACUAGACCAGAGUGUAGCAUUAAAGCAGGACUAGACCAGAGUCUAGGACUAAACCAGGGCUAGACCAUAGACUAGGACUAAACCAGGACUAGACCAGAGUCUAGGACUAAACCAGGACUAGACCACAGACUAGGAAUAAACCAGGACUAGACCAGAGUCUAGGACUAAACCAGGACUAGACCAUAGACUAGGACUAAACCAGGACUAGACCAGAGUCUAGGACUAAACCAAGACUGGACCACAGACUAGGACUAAACCAGGACUAGACCACAGACUAGGACUAAACCAGGACUAGACCAGAGCCUAGUAGUAAACAGGACUGAAUUGAGAGGGACCAGCUUCCCAGAGUGUGAAGGACAAGGACUAGACUGAAAAUCCUGAUUAGACAAUGAAAAAGACUAAACUAACCUCCCAGUCCUAAGCUGAACACGGAUUGGACAGUGUCAACUUUGCCACCAAAAAUGUUUCUAUCAGAGCUUUUGUCAGUGUCAUAUUUUUGCUGACUUAAACAAAAUAAAAAGUAAUCAUAAUGAC